GCCACCUCUGCGCAGACCCGGGAAGAGGUAAAGCCCGGAUCCCCCUUCGCAGGAGGUGGGCGCGCCACGUUGGAACUGGCCUUGAUCAUGAUAUUCCUGAUUCUGCGGCUGGCCGCACCACGUUUUCUCUAACACCGCCAGGUGAUGGGUCCGCAGCGGGGAGAACAGCUAAUUCGAUGAGCCCUGAAUUGAACUUAAAGUUCUUGCCACUGUCAAGAGGGCUCACCUGCUCAAUGACCUGGCCCCUGCCUGCUUCUCCCACCUUGAACACCUAUCAGAAUGGCAGUGAUUGGUGAUUCAUUCCGUGGCUCCAAAUUCAAUAUGAACAAAAUGCACACAAUGUAAGUCUCCCUCCUC